rnacentral:rRNA from 1 species
UCGUACAAGGUUUCCGUAAGUGAACCUGCGGAAGGAUCAUUA